AUACGGAGGGUGCAAGCGUUAAUCGGAAUUACUGGGCGUAAAGCGCGCGUCGGCGGCUUGAUAAGUCGGAUGUGAAAUCCCUGGGCUCAACCUAGGAACUGCAUCCGAUACUGUUAAGCUAGAGUUUUGGAGAGGUAAGUGGAAUUUCCGGUGUAGCGGUGAAAUGCAUAGAGAUCGGAAGGAACACCAGUGGCGAAGGCGACUUACUGGCCAAAAACUGACGCUGAGGUGCGAAAGCGUGGGGAGCAAACAGGAUUAGAAACCCUAGUAGUCC
rnacentral:rRNA from 1 species